GACAGAGGAUGCAAGCGUUUAUCCGGAAUCACUGGGCGUAAAGCGUCUGUAGGUGGUUUAAAAAGUCUACUGUUAAAAAUUGAAGCUUAACUUCAAAGAUGCCGUAGAAACUUUUAAACUUGAGGAUGGUAGGGGUAGAGGGAAUUUCCGGUGGAGCGGUGAAAUGCGUAGAGAUCGGAAAGAACACCAACGGCGAAAGCACUCUGCUGGGCCGACACUGACACUGAGAGACGAAAGCUAGGGGAGCGAAUGGG
rnacentral:rRNA from 1 species